rnacentral:rRNA from 1 species
UCGGGAAUUUUGGGCAAUGGGCGAAAGCCUGACCCAGCCAUUCCGCGUGAGUGAAGAAGGCCUUCGGGUUGUAAAGCUCUUUCGGACGGAACGAAACGGUUAGCGUGAAUAGCGCUGACUAAUGACGGUACCGUAAGAAGAAGCACCGGCUAACUACGUGCCAGCAGCCGCGGUAAUACGUAGGGUGCGAGCGUUAAUCGGAAUUACUGGGCGUAAAGCGUGCGCAGGCGGCGGCACAAGUCAGGUGUGAAAUCCCCGGGCUUAACCUGGGAAUUGCGCUUGAAACUAGGUCGCUUGAGUGUGGCAGAGGGGGGUGGAAUUCCACGUGUAGCAGUGAAAUGCGUAGAGAUGUGGAGGAACACCGAUGGCGAAGGCAGCCCCCUGGGUCAACACUGACGCUCAUGCACGAAAGCGUGGGGAGCAAACAGGAUUAGAUACCCCCGUAGUCCCUGAGCGGGCUGGCAAGGCGCAU